rnacentral:rRNA from 1 species
GACGAACGCUGGCGGCGUGCUUAACACAUGCAAGUCGAGCGGUAAGGCCCUUUCGGGGGUACACGAGCGGCGAACGGGUGAGUAACACGUGGGUGACCUGCCCUCAGCUCUGGGAUAAGCCUGGGAAACUGGGUCUAAUACCGGAUAUGACUCCAUGACGCAUGUUGUGGGGUGGAAAGCCUUGUGCGGCUGAGGAUGGGCCCGCGGCCUAUCAGCUUGUUGGUGGGGUGAUGGCCUACCAAGGCGACGACGGGUAGCCGGCCUGAGAGGGCGACCGGCCACACUGGGACUGAGACACGGCCCAGACUCCUACGGGAGGCAGCAGUGGGGAAUCUUGCGCAAUGGGCGAAAGCCUGACGCAGCGACGCCGCGUGAGGGAUGACGG